rnacentral:rRNA from 1 species
UACGGAAGGCAGCAGUGGGGAAUAUUGCACAAUGGGCGCAAGCCUGAUGCAGCCAUGCCGCGUGUAUGAAGAAGGCCUUCGGGUUGUAAAGUACUUUCAGCGGGGAGGAAGGCGAUGCGGUUAAUAACCGCGUCGAUUGACGUUACCCGCAGAAGAAGCACCGGCUAACUCCGUGCCAGCAGCCGCGGUAAUACGGAGGGUGCAAGCGUUAAUCGGAAUUACUGGGCGUAAAGCGCACGCAGGCGGUCUGUUAAGUCAGAUGUGAAAUCCCCGGGCUUAACCUGGGAACUGCAUUUUGAAACUGGCAGGCUUGAGUCUUGUAGAGGGGGUAGAAUUCCAGGUGUAGCGGUGAAAUGCGUAGAGAUCUGGAGGAAUACCGGUGGCGAAGGCGGCCCCUGGGACAAAGCUGACGCUCAGGUGCGAAAGCGUGGGGAGCAAACAGGGAUUAGAUACC